rnacentral:lncRNA from 13 species
AUGCACACACAGACACACAGACACUCACAGACACCCAUAUACACACACAGACACGCGGACACUCACAGACACCCAGACACACAGACACAGAGACACCCAUACACGCACAGACAUACAGACACCCACACAGACAGACACACAGACACAGACACACAGACACCCAUACACACACAGACACACAGAUGCCCACAGACACAGACACCCACACAGACACAUACAGAUACAGACACACAGACACCCAUACACACACUCACAGACACCCAUACACACAUAGGCACACAAACACCCACAGAUGCACAGACACAUACAUACACACAGACACCCACAGAUGCACAGAUAUCCAUAUACACACAGACACAUGGACACUCUGAGACGUACAGACACCUAUACACACAUAGACACACAUACAUACAUAGACACACAGACACCCAUAUAUACAGACAUGGACAUUCACAGACACACAGACACCUAUACACAGACAGACGCCCAUACACACAUAGACACACAGACACCCAUAUACACACACACACACACACACACAGACACCCAUACACACACAAACGGACACCCACAGAUGCACAGACACCCGUAUACACACACAGACACACAGACACCCAUACACAGCCACACAGAUACCCAUACACACACACACACACAGACACCCAUACACACACACAUAUACCCAGACACACACACACACACAGACACCCAUACACACACAGACACCCACAUACACACAGACACAGACACCCACAGAUGCAGAGACACCCAUAUAUACACACAGACACUUCUACACAGACAGCCACACAGAUACCCAUACACAGCCACACAGAUACCCAUACACACACACACAGACACCCAUACACACACACAUAUACCCAGACACACACACACACACAGACACCCAUACACACACAGACACCCACAUACACACAGACACCCACAGAUGCAGAGACACCCAUAUAUACAUACAGACACUUCUACACACACAGCCACACAGAUACCCAUACACACACACACAGACACCUAUACACACACACACAGAUACCCAGACACACACUCAUACACAGACACAUAGAUACCUAUAUAACAAAUAGACACACCGACACCCAUAUACACAUUCAGACACCCAGAUACUUAUACACAUAA